CAGUCGGGAGGCCCCCCUUGGGACGGGGGCCAGGAAUAGACAGGAACAACCUUCUCAAUGGGGAAAUGUCGCGGCCCCGGCGACAU
rfam:Donghicola sp. JL3646 contig18, whole genome shotgun sequence.